rnacentral:rRNA from 1 species
UGGGGAAUUUUGCACAAUGGGGGAAACCCUGAUGCAGCGACGCCGCGUGAUUUAGAAGGCCUUCGGGUUGUAAAAAUCUUUUUUACGGGAUGAAAAUGACAGUACCGUAAGAAUAAGGUCCGGCUAAAUACGUGCCAGCAGCCGCGGUAAUACGUAUGGACCGAGCGUUGUCCGGAAUCAUUGGGCGUAAAGGGUACGUAGGCGGCCUAGUAAGUUAGAAGUGAAAUAAUAUAGCUCAACUAUAUAAAGCUUUUAAAACUGCUAGGCUUCAGAGAUGGAAGGGAAAGUGGAAUUCCUAGUGUAGCGGUGAAAUGCGCAGAUAUUAGGAAGAAUACCGGUGGCGAAGGCGACUUUCUGGUCAUCAUCUGACGCUGAGGUACGAAAGCGUGGGUAGCAAACAGG